rnacentral:rRNA from 1 species
GGGGCCCGCACAAGCAGUGGAGUAUGUGGUUUAAUUCGACGCAACGCGAAGAACCUUACCAGGAUUUGACAUCCUCUGACGACGUUAGAGAUAGUCGUUUCCCUUCGGGGCAGAGAGACAGGUGGUGCAUGGCUGUCGUCAGCUCGUGUCGUGAGAUGUUGGGUUAAGUCCCGCAACGAGCGCAACCCUUAUCCUUUGUUGCCAGCGAGUAAUGUCGGGAACUCAAAGGAGACUGCCGGUGAUAAACCGGAGGAAGGUGGGAUGACGCCAAGUCAUCAUGGCCCUUACGAGUAGGGCUACACACGUGCCACAAUGGCAUAUACAAAGAGAAGCGAACUCGCGAGAGCAAGCGGACCUCAUAAAGUAUGUCGUAGUCCGGAUUGGAGUCUGCAACUCGACUCCAUGAAGUCGGAAUCGCUAGUAAUCGUGGAUCAGCAUGUCACGGUGAAUACGUUCCCGGGUCUU